rnacentral:rRNA from 1 species
GACGGAGGGUGCAAGCGUUGCUCGGAAUCACUGGGCGUAAAGGGUGCGUAGGCGGUCUCGCAAGUCUGGCGUGAAAGCCCAAGGCUCAGCCUUGGAAGUGCGCUCGAAACGGCGAGGCUGGAGUGCCGGAGGGGAGAGUGGAAUUCCCGGUGUAGCGGUGAAAUGCGCAGAUAUCGGGAGGAACACCUAUGGCGAAGGCAGCUCGCUGGGACGUUACUGACGCUGAGACGCGAAAGCGUGGGGAGCAAACAGG